GACGAACGCUGGCGGCGUGCCUAAUACAUGCAAGUAGAACGCACAGUUUAUACCGUAGCUUGCUCCACCAUAGACUGUGAGUUGCGAACGGGUGAGUAACGCGUAGGUAACCUGCCUGGUAGCGGGGGAUAACUAUUGGAAACGAUAGCUAAUACCGCAUAAUAUUAAUUAUUGCAUGAUAAUUAAUUGAAAGGUGCAAUUGCACCACUACCAGAUGGACCUGCGUUGUAUUAGCUAGUAGGUGAGGUAACGGCUCACCUAGGCGACGAUACAUAGCCGACCUGAGAGGGUGAUCGGCCACACUGGGACUGAGACACGGCCCAGACUCCUACGGGAGGCAGCAGUAGGGAAUCUUCGGCAAUGGACGAAAGUCUGACCGAGCAACGCCGCGUGAGUGAAGAAGGUUUUCGGAUCGUAAAGCUCCGUUGUAAGAGAAGAACGGGUGUGAGAGUGGAAAGUUCACACUGUGACGGUAUCUUACCAGAAAGGGACGGCUAACUACGUG
rnacentral:rRNA from 1 species